UUUUUCCCUAUAUGAUGAGAUGAAUGUUGGUAGGGACAUCUUAUUGACUGUGAUGAAUACCAACUUUUCUGAUUUUAUGGG